GAUGAACGCUGGCGGCGUGCCUAAUACAUGCAAGUCGAGCGAAGCGGGGACGGGUGAGUAACACGUGGAUAACCUCCUAUACGACUGGGAUAACUUCGGGAAACCGGAGCUAAACCGGAUACUUAUAGAUGGAUCCGCGCUGCAUUAGCUAGUUGGUAAGGUAACGGAUUACCAAGGCAACGAUGCAUAGCCGACCUGAGAGGGUGAGCGUGAACAUUGGGACGGAGACACGGUCCAGAAGCCUAAGGGAGGUAGUAGUAGGGAAUCUUCGGAAAUGGACGAAAGUAGUACGGAGUAACGCUGCGUGAGUGAUGAAGGUUUGCGGAUAGUAAAACUCUGUUAGUAGAUAAGCGGUAUCUAAUCAGAAAGCCACGGCUAACUACGUGCAAGCAGCCGCGGUAAUGG
rnacentral:rRNA from 1 species